CUUUCCCCAGCAGGAAAGAGACCAGCUAAAGUAGCAUGUAAUAUCCUUCCUAUUCCCAGGCAGCUGUCUGAGGCUUCUCUUUCCUCUGGUCAAAUCUGAUUUGUAUUUCUUCCUGGUUAACACCCCUAGAGUGCUCCAGCUUGCUCUCUGCCUG
rfam:Neotoma lepida isolate 417 scaffold_1749, whole genome shotgun sequence.